AUGGUGAAGAAAAUGGUGAUUUUUGUCCACUAUCUGCCUGUAGCAGUACUGUCACAACAGAGCGUUGCUGGAAGCUUGAUGAAGGCUCCAGGUGUCCCAAGAAGAGUAAUGCCCAGGCCAGGCCCUCCUCCAGCAACCACUUCUGCACAGAUUGGAAGUGAAAGUGCCACCUUGUCACUUCACCACAGAGCCAGGCAGGGCCACCAGAGUGCAGGCAGGGCAGGAGGGCAGAGCAGAGCAGGAAGAAAAGCUCACCCUGAGCAGCGUAGCAGCAGCAGCAAAAGUGGCACCAUGCAGAAGGGAGCAAAGCACAAACAGGUUCUUACGUCAUCUUGUGGGUGGUAUAACAUAACACAGCAUCACAGAAGUGACAGCUAACCACUACCUAAACUUUCUAUAUGGAAAAAAGGAAGAGAGCAGAUCACAGAUUUAUUUGUGGAAAUGCCAAAAAACACUCAUUCACGAGAAGAGUUUUUCAUAAUGAACAGAUGGAUGCCUGACUCUAACGAAUAUGUAUUGUCAUUUACUGUGAUGUUGUCUAUCACUGAAGAUGACUUUCAGACUUGUUCUGCUGCUGGUGCUUCUAUCUGAUUUCAGUAAACCUCAACUCUUUAAGCUGUUUUUUAUCAAAUACAGCUUGUGGUUUGUCUCAAGACUAGACUCAUUGCUGCCCUAGAAAGGUUUGUGCAGGAGUAAAAGAGAAGCAAAGUCUGAACUUUUCACCAGGGGAGUCUCCUCCUGGUGUAGCUUGAAUAAGUAGGUCCAAAAAAUUAAUCUCUUGCCUGCUCAGCAAACUACAAGGUGAUUUUGGUGAUUCAGUAGCUACCUAAUAGAUAUGUCCAUCUGUGUUCUAGUAUUAUCUGUUAUUCUUAAUAAAGGUUAGAACUGACUUUAUAUAGGGGACUUU
rnacentral:lncRNA from 1 species